rnacentral:pre_miRNA from 1 species
UUUCUACUCCCUCCGUCCGAAAAUACUUGUCAUCAAAAUGGAUAAAAAUAGAUGUAUCUAAAACUAAAAUAGGUCUAGAUACAUUUCCUUUUAUCCAUUUUGAUGACAAGUAUUUUCGGACGGAGGGAGUAUUUG